GCAUUCCCAGGACACGCCCCAGAGGUGAGGCCAGCAGCAGUGCAUCCUGGGAGGAGCCUGAAAUGGCUGCAGCCAUAGGGCAGGCCAGCCCCGCAAGCCCGUCUUCCCCCAUGGGACGCAUCAGCAGCACAGGUGCCGAAAUGUGAAAGACUGCUUCUUCUGGACUGGAAGAGGAUCCUCAGGGAAUAAUGGGGGGGACAGCGGGGCCCGUCACUUCCCAGAGGCUGGGCAGUGGCUGCCUCUCAGGGCAGGGCAGAGAGACCAGGGCCCCACGUCAUAUUAAGAGUAUCUUGUUUGUUGGGAAGGGGGAAGAGACAACAAAUAAACUUCUG